rnacentral:rRNA from 1 species
GACGAACGCUGGCGGCGUGCCUAAUACAUGCAAGUAGAACGCUGAAGAGAGGAGCUUGCUCUUCUUGGAUGAGUUGCGAACGGGUGAGUAACGCGUAGGUAACCUGCCUUGUAGCGGGGGAUAACUAUUGGAAACGAUAGCUAAUACCGCAUAACAAUGGAUGACACAUGUCAUUUAUUUGAAAGGGGCAAUUGCUCCACUACAAGAUGGACCUGCGUUGUAUUAGCUAGUAGGUGAGGUAAUGGCUCACCUAGGCGACGAUACAUAGCCGACCUGAGAGGGUGAUCGGCCACACUGGGACUUGGACACGGCCCAGACUCCUACGGGAGGCAGCAGUAGGGAAUCUUCGGCAAUGGGGGCAACCCUGACCGGGCAACGCCGCGUGAGUGGAGAAGGUUUUCGGAUCGUAAAGCUCUGUUGUAAGUCAAGAACGGGUGUGAGAGUGGAAAGUUCACACUGUGACGGUAGCUUACCAGAAAGGGACGGCUAACUACGUG